UAAGCGACUAAGCGUACACGGUGGAUGCCCUGGCAGUCAGAGGCGAUGAAGGACGUGCUAAUCUGCGAUAAGCGUCGGUAAGGUGAUAUGAACCGUUAUAACCGGCGAUUUCCGAAUGGGGAAACCCAGUGUGUUUCGACACACUAUCAUUAACUGAAUCCAUAGGUUAAUGAGGCGAACCGGGGGAACUGAAACAUCUAAGUACCCCGAGGAAAAGAAAUCAACCGAGAUUCCCCCAGUAGCGGCGAGCGAACGGGGAGCAGCCCAGAGCCUGAAUCAGUGUGUGUGUUAGUGGAAGCGUCUGGAAAGGCGCGCGAUACAGGGUGACAGCCCCGUACACAAAAAUGCACAUGCUGUGAGCUCGAUGAGUAGGGCGGGACACGUGGAAUCCUGUCUGAAUAUGGGGGGACCAUCCUCCAAGGCUAAAUACUCCUGACUGACCGAUAGUGAACCAGUACCGUGAGGGAAAGGCGAAAAGAACCCCGGCGAGGGGAGUGAAAAAGAACCUGAAACCGUGUACGUACAAGCAGUGGGAGCACGCUUAGGCGUGUGACUGCGUACCUUUUGUAUAAUGGGUCAGCGACUUAUAUUCUGUAGCAAGGUUAACCGAAUAGGGGAGCCGAAGGGAAACCGAGUCUUAACUGGGCGUUAAGUUGCAGGGUAUAGACCCGAAACCCGGUGAUCUAGCCAUGGGCAGGUUGAAGGUUGGGCAACACUAACUGGAGGACCGAACCGACUAAUGUUGAAAAAUUAGCGGAUGACUUGUGGCUGGGGGUGAGAGGCCAAUCAAACCGGGAGAUAGCUGGUUCUCCCCGAAAGCUAUUUAGGUAGCGCCUCGUGAAUUCAUCUCCGGGGGUAGAGCACUGUUUCGGCAAGGGGGUCAUCCCGACUUACCAACCCGAUGCAAACUGCGAAUACCGGAGAAUGUUAUCACGGGAGACACACGGCGGGUGCUAACGUCCGUCGUGAAGAGGGAAACAACCCAGACCGCCAGCUAAGGUCCCAAAGUCAUGGUUAAGUGGGAAACGAUGUGGGAAGGCCCAGACAGCCAGGAUGUUGGCUUAGAAGCAGCCAUCAUUUAAAGAAAGCGUAAUAGCUCACUGGUCGAGUCGGCCUGCGCGGAAGAUGUAACGGGGCUAAACCAUGCACCGAAGCUGCGGCAGCGACGCUUAUGCGUUGUUGGGUAGGGGAGCGUUCUGUAAGCCUGCGAAGGUGUGCUGUGAGGCAUGCUGGAGGUAUCAGAAGUGCGAAUGCUGACAUAAGUAACGAUAAAGCGGGUGAAAAGCCCGCUCGCCGGAAGACCAAGGGUUCCUGUCCAACGUUAAUCGGGGCAGGGUGAGUCGACCCCUAAGGCGAGGCCGAAAGGCGUAGUCGAUGGGAAACAGGUUAAUAUUCCUGUACUUGGUGUUACUGCGAAGGGGGGACGGAGAAGGCUAUGUUGGCCGGGCGACGGUUGUCCCGGUUUAAGCGUGUAGGCUGGUUUUCCAGGCAAAUCCGGAAAAUCAAGGCUGAGGCGUGAUGACGAGGCACUACGGUGCUGAAGCAACAAAUGCCCUGCUUCCAGGAAAAGCCUCUAAGCAUCAGGUAACAUCAAAUCGUACCCCAAACCGACACAGGUGGUCAGGUAGAGAAUACCAAGGCGCUUGAGAGAACUCGGGUGAAGGAACUAGGCAAAAUGGUGCCGUAACUUCGGGAGAAGGCACGCUGAUAUGUAGGUGAAGUCCCUCGCGGAUGGAGCUGAAAUCAGUCGAAGAUACCAGCUGGCUGCAACUGUUUAUUAAAAACACAGCACUGUGCAAACACGAAAGUGGACGUAUACGGUGUGACGCCUGCCCGGUGCCGGAAGGUUAAUUGAUGGGGUUAGCGCAAGCGAAGCUCUUGAUCGAAGCCCCGGUAAACGGCGGCCGUAACUAUAACGGUCCUAAGGUAGCGAAAUUCCUUGUCGGGUAAGUUCCGACCUGCACGAAUGGCGUAAUGAUGGCCAGGCUGUCUCCACCCGAGACUCAGUGAAAUUGAACUCGCUGUGAAGAUGCAGUGUACCCGCGGCAAGACGGAAAGACCCCGUGAACCUUUACUAUAGCUUGACACUGAACAUUGAGCCUUGAUGUGUAGGAUAGGUGGGAGGCUUUGAAGUGUGGACGCCAGUCUGCAUGGAGCCGACCUUGAAAUACCACCCUUUAAUGUUUGAUGUUCUAACGUUGACCCGUGAUCCGGGUUGCGGACAGUGUCUGGUGGGUAGUUUGACUGGGGCGGUCUCCUCCUAAAGAGUAACGGAGGAGCACGAAGGUUGGCUAAUCCUGGUCGGACAUCAGGAGGUUAGUGCAAUGGCAUAAGCCAGCUUGACUGCGAGCGUGACGGCGCGAGCAGGUGCGAAAGCAGGUCAUAGUGAUCCGGUGGUUCUGAAUGGAAGGGCCAUCGCUCAACGGAUAAAAGGUACUCCGGGGAUAACAGGCUGAUACCGCCCAAGAGUUCAUAUCGACGGCGGUGUUUGGCACCUCGAUGUCGGCUCAUCACAUCCUGGGGCUGAAGUAGGUCCCAAGGGUAUGGCUGUUCGCCAUUUAAAGUGGUACGCGAGCUGGGUUUAGAACGUCGUGAGACAGUUCGGUCCCUAUCUGCCGUGGGCGCUGGAGAACUGAGGGGGGGCUGCUCCUAGUACGAGAGGACCGGAGUGGACGCAUCACUGGUGUUCGGGUUGUCAUGCCAAUGGCACUGCCCGGUAGCUAAAUGCGGAAGAGAUAAGUGCUGAAAGCAUCUAAGCACGAAACUUGCCCCGAGAUGAGUUCUCCCUGACUCCUUGAGAGUCCUGAAGGAACGUUGAAGACGACGACGUUGAUAGGCCGGGUGUGUAAGCGCAGCGAUGCGUUGAGCUAACCGGUACUAAUGAACCGUGAGGCUUAACCU
rnacentral:rRNA from 1 species